UUUAUUUUAUUUAUUUCCAGAGUCAGACAGCUAACUCACACAAGAGACAAGGAUCGAAUUUGUCCUGAUGAUUGCCUAAAUUCAAGUGCUCCUUUUUACUCAUUGCGAUUCUGCUUCUUGUUUACUGCCGGUGACAUCUGCAGAUUCUGAGAUGGAUGUAGAUCAGCGUCUCUGCUCAGAGGGUCCUAGCUUCUACUGACUGACCUUUACAAAUGUAACAACAAUAAUUAUCCUAUAAUUAGACACUCUAAGUCACAUUGUUGCUAAAGCUGUUGGUGUGGGAAGGAAGCAAGCAGUGCUUAAGGUAAGAGUUGAAGUCUUCUUCAUUGUCACACCAGAGGUAUUUGUGCCAAGUUGCUGGCAUUUCAUUAGGUGGUUGUUGGGGUUCCCUUUUAAUUGCAUCUCAUAAGUUAGUGAUUGCUGUUCAUGACUCAGUGAUUGUCCAUCCCAGGUCAUAGAGAGCAAAGGGCAUGUGGGGUAUCAUCAGAUUUCAUGUUCAUGCCACCAUUUUGGCCGCUGACAAACCACCCAAAGUCACUGUGCUGAUGUUCUGCCAUCCAUAUGACUUUAGUGGUGCACUUCAGUCUUUCCAGUUUUCACCCCAGAGCUCAAAAUGCAAAAGAUUCUGGUAAGUGGCAAAUAUAUAGAGUUUAUGUGAAAACCAGAUGUCCUUUCUUGGCAUUAAUAAUACCUCUGAAACCAUAAUUUUCAUUGUACCAUCAAAACAGGUGAGACAUGGAGACGUUCUUGCAGAAGUGUCCAAUCUAUAACAAGGUUUGGAAGUGCAGCUCUGGAUUAAAGACACAGAGUGAAUCUGAUCAAUCUUUCCCAACAUGGGCUCUUCACUUCUUUGUCACCCACUCCCUGGUUGCUUCUUCCUGAAUUAACCUUGUAAUAAUGCUGUUUCUUUCUUUUUCUCGUAGCUUAAUCUUCCUCGGGCACAGGACAUCAAGGGGUGUCUGCAGAAAUUCACAAGAUGGAUUUCUUGCUCUGUUGUCCACAUUUCAGCGUCGUGCUGCUUGGACUGGUUAUCCAAACCUCUCAGUAAAAAUAUUAUUAAUAAAAUCACACAUUCAUAUCAUA